GAUGACCAAAUGUAGUGUUGCUAUCAGUGUUCGUAAUUGAUAUCAAUUUCAGGAUGACGUGGAACCUGUCCUUCAGCCAGAGGUAACCGUCCAUCAGCAAGUUUGGUUUGGUUUAUUUUGUUUAACGUCCUAUUAACAGCUAAGGUCCAGAGGUAACCAUCCAUCAGCCAGAGGUAACCGUCCAUCAGCUAGUGAUAUCUGCCCAUCAGGGCAUGGCAACAAGAAGAACAAGGUCGAUCGUUGGCCAUGGGUAAACUUUUUCCAGAGAGCGAGGUCAUCAGGAUGGGUGCUACAGGAGACAAAACAUACACUGAUGCCAGAGGAUGUAUGUGACAUCCUGUCACCUCCAGAUAUUCACAUGACGGGAUGCCGGAUAUUUUACCGGUUUAAGGAUUUCUGAUCUGACUGGUGGAGUCCAAUCGUCUACAGAGGACCUAUAUCCGCGACAAAGACUGAAUUGUUUAUCUUUCAUUUGUUUGAAAUUAAUGUUCAAAAAGAUUUCACCAUG